AACGUAGGUUCCGAGCGUUAUCCGGAUUACUGGGCGUAAAGCGCGUUCAGGCGGUUUGGCAAGUCGGGCAUGAAAUCUCUCGGCUCAACCGGGAGAGGUUGUCCGAUACUCCAGACUUGAGGGCAGUAGAGGGUGGUGGAAUUCCGGGUGUAGUGGUGAAAUGCGUAGAUAUCCGGAGGAACACCAGUGGCGAAAGCGGCCACCUGGACUGCACCUGACGCUGACACGCGAAAACUAGGGGAGCGAACGGG
rnacentral:rRNA from 1 species